GCUCCCGUAGCUCAAUUGGAUAGAGCGUCUGUCUUCGGAACAGAAGGUUGUGUGUUCGAUUCACGCCGGGAGCA
rnacentral:tRNA from 1 species